rnacentral:rRNA from 1 species
UACGGAGGGUGCAAGCGUUGUUCGGAUUUAUUGGGCGUAAAGCGGGUGUAGGCGGUUCGUUAAGUCAGAUGUGAAAGCCCCGGGCUCAACCCGGGAAGUGCAUUUGAAACUGGCGGACUUGAGUACGGGAGAGGAGAGCGGAAUUCCUAGUGUAGAGGUGAAAUUCGUAGAUAUUAGGAAGAACACCGGUGGCGAAGGCGGCUCUCUGGACCGAUACUGACGCUGAGAUCCGAAAGCGUGGGGAGCAAACAGGAUUAGAUACCCCCGUA